rnacentral:rRNA from 1 species
AUUGAACGCUGGCGGCAUGCUUUACACAUGCAAGUCGAACGGCAGCGCGGGCUUCGGCCUGGCGGCGAGUGGCGAACGGGUGAGUAAUGCAUCGGAACGUGCCCAGUCGUGGGGGAUAGCCCGGCGAAAGCCGGAUUAAUACCGCAUACGACCUGCGGGUGAAAGCGGGGGACCGAAAGGCCUCGCGCUAUUGGAGCGGCCGAUGUCGGAUUAGCUAGUUGGUGGGGUAAAGGCUUACCAAGGCGACGAUCCGUAGCUGGUCUGAGAGGACGACCAGCCACACUGGGACUGAGACACGGCCCAGACUCCUACGGGAGGCAGCAGUGGGGAAUUUUGGACAAUGGGGGCAACCCUGAUCCAGCCAUGCCGCGUGCGGGAAGAAGGCCUUCGGGUUGUAAACCGCUUUUGUUCGGGAAGAAAUCCUCUGGGCUAAUACCCCGGGGGGAUGACGGUACCGGAAGAAUAAGCACCGGCUAACUACGUG